rnacentral:rRNA from 1 species
UACGGAGGGGGCUAGCGUUGUUCGGAAUUACUGGGCGUAAAGCGCACGUAGGCGGCUUUGUAAGUUAGAGGUGAAAGCCCGGGGCUCAACUCCGGAAUUGCCUUUAAAACUGCAUCGCUAGAAUUGUGGAGAGGUGAGUGGAAUUCCGAGUGUAGAGGUGAAAUUCGUAGAUAUUCGGAAGAGCACCAGUGGCGAAGGCGACUCACUGGACACAUAUUGACGCUGAGGUGCGAAAGCGUGGGGAGCAAACAGG